rnacentral:rRNA from 1 species
GACGAACGCUGGCGGCGUGCUUAACACAUGCAAGUCGAGCGGUAAGGCCCUUUCGGGGGUACACGAGCGGCGAACGGGUGAGUAACACGUGGGUGACCUGCCCUCAGCUCUGGGAUAAGCCUGGGAAACCGGGUCUAAUACUGGAUAUGACUCCAUGACGCAUGUUGUGGGGUGGAAAGCCUUGUGCGGCUGAGGAUGGGGCCCGCGGCCUAUCAGCUUGUUGGUGGGGUGGAGGCCUACCAAGGCGACGACGGGUAGCCGGCCUGAGAGGGCGACCGGCCACACUGGGACUGAGACACGGCCUAGACUCCUACGGGAGGCAGCAGUGGGGAAUCUUGCGCAAUGGGCGAAAGCCUGACGCAGCGACGCCGCGUGAGGGAUGACGGCCUCGGUUGUAAC